UACGUAGGGCGCGAGCGUUGUCCGGAAUUAUUGGGCGUAAAGAGCUCGUAGGCGGCCUGUCGCGUCGGUUGUGAAAGCCCGGGGCUCAACCCCGGGUCUGCAGUCGAUACGGGCAGGCUAGAGUUCGGUAGGGGAGAUCGGAAUUCCUGGUGUAGCGGUGGAAUGCGCAGAUAUCAGGAGGAACACCGGUGGCGAAGGCGGGUCUCUGGGCAGUAACUGACGCUGAGGAGCGAAAGCGUGGGGAGCGAACAGG
rnacentral:rRNA from 1 species